rnacentral:rRNA from 1 species
GACGUAGGGCGCGAGCGUUGUCCGGAUUUAUUGGGCGUAAAGAGCUCGUAGGCGGUCUGUUGCGUCCGCUGUGAAAACUCGGGGCUUAACCCCGAGCCUGCAGUGGAUACGGGCAGACUAGAGGUAGGUAGGGGAGAAUGGAAUUCCCGGUGUAGCGGUGAAAUGCGCAGAUAUCGGGAGGAACACCGGUGGCGAAGGCGGUUCUCUGGGCCUUACCUGACGCUGAGGAGCGAAAGCCAGGGGAGCAAACGGG